UGAGGUCUACCUCUCGCGUUCAUGUCAACGCCGUCAGAGCAGAUAGAUU
rnacentral:sRNA from 1 species